rnacentral:rRNA from 1 species
UACGUAGGCAGCGAGCGUUGUUCGGAGUUACUGGGCGUAAAGGGUGUGUAGGCGGUUGUUUAAGUUUGGUGUGAAAUCUCCCGGCUCAACUGGGAGGGUGCGCCCGAAUACUGAAUGACUUGGAGUGCGGGAGAGGAAAGUGGAAUUCCUGGUGUAGCGGUGAAAUGCGUAGAUAUCAGGAGGAACACCGGUGGUGUAGACGGCUUUCUGGACCGUAACUGACGCUGAGACACGAAAGCGUGGGUAGCAAACAGG